UGUGCUAAGGUAGCAUAAUAAUUAGUUAUUUAAUUGAUAACUAGAAUGAAAGGUCUGACGAAAAGAAAAUCUUCUUUUUAUAAACGGAAAUUAAUAUGUAAAUAAAAAAGUUUACAUCUCCUAGACGGACGAUAAGACCCUAAAACCUUUAUUGAUUAAAUUCAUAUAAUUAUCUUUUUACUGGGGCGGUAAGUUAUACUAACAUAACUUAAUAUAACAUUUUAAAUGAUCUAUUCAAUAACUCUUUUAAAUAACAAAAAGGUACUUUAGGGAUAACAGCAUAAUUAUCAUUUAGAGAAAACCUAUCGACAUAAUAGAUUAUGACCUCGAUGUUGAAUUGAUAUUGCCUUGCUAAGCAG
rnacentral:rRNA from 1 species